CUGUUCUAACCAUAAACGAUGCCUGCCAGCGAUCCGCCGGCGUUCCUCCGAUGACCCGGCGGGCAGCUUCCGGGAAACCAGAGCCUUUGGGUUCCGGGGGAAGUAUGGUUGCAAAGCUGAAACUUAAAGGAAUUGACGGAAGGGCACCACCAGGAGUGGAGCCUGCGGCUUAAUUUGACUCAACACGGGAAAACUCACCAGGCCCGGACACCGGUAGGAUUGACAGAUUGAGAGCUCUUUCUUGAUUCGGUGGGUGGUGGUGCAUGGCCGUUCUUAGUUGGUGGAGCGAUUUGUCUGGUUAAUUCCGAUAACGAACGAGACUCUAGCCUGCUAACUAGACGUUUCCGGUAUCCACAAUCGUGCUACCGGCGAACAAAACUCUUCUUAGAGGGACAGGCGGCUGUAGCCGCACGAGACUGAGCAAUAACAGGUCUGUGAUGCCCUUAGAUGUCCUGGGCCGCACGCGCGCUACAGUGAAAGGGUCAGCGUGUCUUCCCUGUCCGGAAGGACCGGGUAACCCGCUGAAACUCGAUCUUGCUUGGGAUUGGGGACUGCAAUUGUUCCCCAAGAACGUGGAAUUCCCAGUAAACGCGAGUCAUAAGCUCGCGCUGAUUACGUCCCUGCCCUUUGUACACACCGCCCGUCGCUACUACCGAUUGAAUGAUUUAGUGAGGUCUUCGGACCGGUCCGCGGCGGCGGCCCCGUCGCCUCCGAUGUGCCGGAAAGAUGACCGAACUUGAUCAUUUAGAGGAAGUAAAAGUCGUAACAA
rnacentral:rRNA from 1 species